CAAGUCGAGCGAAGCACUUUGCUUAGAUUCUUCGGAUGAAGAGGAUUGUGACUGAGCGGCGGACGGGUGAGUAACGCGUGGGUAACCUGCCUCAUACAGGGGGAUAACAGUUAGAAAUGACUGCUAAUACCGCAUAAGACCACAGCACCGCAUGGUGCGGGGGUAAAAACUCCGGUGGUAUGAGAUGGACCCGCGUCUGAUUAGCUAGUUGGUAAGGUAACGGCUUACCAAGGCGACGAUCAGUAGCCGACCUGAGAGGGUGACCGGCCACAUUGGGACUGAGACACGGCCCAAACUCCUACGGGAGGCAGCAGUGGGGAAUAUUGCACAAUGGGGGAAACCCUGAUGCAGCGACGCCGCGUGAGCGAAGAAGUAUUUCGGUAUGUAAAGCUCUAUCAGCAGGGAAGAAAAUGACGGUACCUGACUAAGAAGCACCGGCUAAAUACGUGCCAGCAGCCGCGGUAAUACGUAUGGUGCAAGCGUUAUCCGGAUUUACUGGGUGUAAAGGGAGCGUAGACGGAUGGGCAAGUCUGAUGUGAAAACCCGGGGCUCAACCCCGGGACUGCAUUGGAAACUGUUCAUCUAGAGUGCUGGAGAGGUAAGUGGAAUUCCUAGUGUAGCGGUGAAAUGCGUAGAUAUUAGGAGGAACACCAGUGGCGAAGGCGG
rnacentral:rRNA from 1 species